rnacentral:rRNA from 1 species
AUUGAACGCUGGCGGCAGGCCUAACACAUGCAAGUCGAACGAGAGGCGGACGGGUGAGUAAUGUAUGGGAAAGUGCGUGAUGGAGGGGGAUGAGGAGGGGAAACGGUAGCUAAUAGCGCAUACGAUGGGAUGUGCCCACAUGGGAUUAGCUAGUAGGUGGGGUAAAGGCUCACCUAGGCGACGAUCCCUAGCUGGGCUGAGAGGAUGAUCGGCCACACUGGAACUGAGACACGGCCCAGACUCCUACGGGAGGCAGCAGUGGGGAAUAUUGCACAAUGGGCGCAAGCCUGAUCCAGCCAUGCCGCGUGUAUGAAGAAGGCCUUCGGGUUGUAAAGUACUUUCAGUGGGGAGGCGUUACCCGCAGAAGAAGCACCGGCUAACUCCGUGCCAGCAGCCGCGGUAAUUC